AUUGAACGCUGGAGGAAUGCUUUGCACAUGCAAGUCGAACGGCAGCACGGACUUCGGUCUGGUGGCGAGUGGCGAACGGGUGAGUAAUGUAUCGGAACGUGCCCAGUCGUGGGGGAUAACGUAGUGAAAAUUACGCUAAUACCGCAUACGAUAUAUGGAUGAAAGCGGGGGAUCGCAAGACCUCGCGCGAUUGGACCGGCCGAUAUCAGAUUAGGUAGUGGGUGGGGUAAAGGCCCACCAAGCCAACGAUCUGUAGCUGGUCUGAGAGGACGACCCGCCGCCCUGGAACUGAGCCACGGUCCAGUCUCCUACGGGAGGCAGCAGUGGGGAGUUUUGGACAAUGGGCGAAAGCCUGUUCCAGCCAUUCCGCGUGCAGGAUGAAGGCCCUCGGGUUGUAAACUGCUUUUGUACAGAACGAAAAGGUUUCUACUAAUACUAGGAGCUCAUGACGGUACUGUAAGAAUAAGCACCGGCUAACUUCGUGCCAGCAGCCGCCGUAA
rnacentral:rRNA from 1 species